rnacentral:rRNA from 2 species
UUCAGUGAAUCAUUGAAUCUUUGAACGCACCUUGCACCUUUUGGUAUUCCAAAAGGUACACCUGUUUGAGUGUCAU